UUGGCUCAGGAUGAACGCUGGCGGCAGGCUUAACACAUGCAAGUCGAGGGGCAGCGCGAGGGUAGCAAUACCUUUGGCUGCGACCGGCGCACUGGUGAGUAACACGUAUGCGACCUGCCCCGGACAGGGGGAUAAACCCGGGAAACUGGGCCUAAUACCCCAUAUGCCUCGAGGACGCAUGUCCCUGAGGUGAAAGAUCCGUCGGUCCGGGAUGGGCAUGCGGCGCAUUAGCUUGUUGGCGGGGUAACGGCCCACCAAGGCGACGAUGCGUAGGGGUUCUGAGAGGAAGGUCCCCCACACUGGUACUGAGACACGGACCAGACUCCUACGGGAGGCAGCAGUGGGGAAUA
rnacentral:rRNA from 1 species